rnacentral:rRNA from 1 species
UGCCAGCCGCCGCGGUAAUACAUAGGAUGCAAGCGUUAUCCGGAUUUACUGGGCGUAAAACGAGCGCGGGCGGAUUAGCAAGUUUGGUAUGAAAGACUUCUGCUUAACGGGAGUUUGUAUCAAAAACUGCUAAUCUGGAGUGUAGUAGGGAGUUCUGGAAUUCCAUGUGGAGCGGUGGAAUGCGUAGAUAUAUGGAAGAACACCGGUGGCGAAGGCGAGAACUUAGGCUAUCACUGACGCUUAGGCUCGAAAGUGUGGGGAGCAAAUAGGAUUAGAUA